GACGAACGCUGGCGGCGUGCCUAAUACAUGCAAGUAGAACGCUGAAGAGAGGAGCUUGCUCUUCUUGGAUGAGUUGCGAACGGGUGAGUAACGCGUAGGUAUCCUGCCUUGUAGCGGGGGAUAACUAUUGGAAACGAUAGCUAAUACCGCAUAACAAUGGAUGACACAUGUCAUUUAUUUGAAAGGGGCAAUUGCUCCACUACAAGACGGACCUGCGUUGUAUUAGCUAGUAGGUGAGGUAAUGGCUCACCUAGGCGACGAAACAUAGCCGACCUGAGAGGGUGGUCGGCCACCCUGGGACGGAGACAGGGCCCAGACUCCUACGGGGAGGAGCCGUAGGGAAUCUUCGGGAAGGGGGGCAAACCUGACCGAGCAACGCCGCGGGAGUGAAGAAGGUUGUCGGAUCGGAAAGCUCUGUUGUAAGUCAAGAACGGGUGUGAGAGUGGAAAGUUCACACUGUGACGGUAGCUUACCAGAAAGGGACGGCUAACUACGUG
rnacentral:rRNA from 1 species